rnacentral:rRNA from 1 species
CAGGCUUAACACAUGCAAGUCGAGGGGCAUCAGGAAGAAAGCUUGCUUUCUUUGCUGGCGACCGGCGCACGGGUGAGUAACACGUAUCCAACCUGCCCUUUACUCGGGGAUAGCCUUUCGAAAGAAAGAUUAAUACCCGAUAGCAUAAUGAUUCCGCAUGGUUUCAUUAUUAAAGGAUUCCGGUAAAGGAUGGGGAUGCGUUCCAUUAGGUUGUUGGUGAGGUAACGGCCCACCAAGCCUUCGAUGGAUAGGGGUUCUGAGAGGAAGGUCCCCCACAUUGGAACUGAGACACGGUCCAAACUCCUACGGGAGGCAGCAGUGAGGAAUAUUGGUCAAUGGGCGGUAGCCUGAACCAGCCAAGUAGCGUGAAGGAUGAAGGCUCUAUGGGUCGUAAACUUCUUUUAUAUAAGAAUAAAGUGCAGUAUGUAUACUGUUUUGUAUGUAUUAUAUGAAUAAGGAUCGGCUAACUCCGUGCCAGCAGCCGCGGUAAUACGGAGGAUCCGAGCGUUAUCCGGAUUUAUUGGGUUUAAAGGGAGCGUAGGUGGACUGGUAAGUCAGUUGUGAAAGUUUGCGGCUCAACCGUAAAAUUGCAGUUGAUACUGUCAGUCUUGAGUACAGUAGAGGUGGGCGGAAUUCGUGGUGUAGCGGUGAAAUGCUUAGAUAUCACGAAGAACUCCGAUUGCGAAGGGCAGCUCACUGGACUGCAACUGACACUGAUGCUCGAAAGUGUGGGUAUCAAACAGGAUUAGAUACCCUGGUAGUCCACACAGUAAACGAUGAAUACUCGCUGUUUGCGAUAUACAGUAAGCGGCCAAGCGAAAGCAUUAAGUAUUCCACCUGGGGAGUACGCCGGCAACGGUGAAACUCAAAGGAAUUGACGGGGGCCCGCACAAGCGGAGGAACAUGUGGUUUAAUUCGAUGAUACGCGAGGAACCUUACCCGGGCUUAAAUUGCAGUGGAAUGAUGUGGAAACAUGUCAGUGAGCAAUCACCGCUGUGAAGGUGCUGCAUGGUUGUCGUCAGCUCGUGCCGUGAGGUGUCGGCUUAAGUGCCAUAACGAGCGCAACCCUUAUCUUCAGUUACUAACAGGUUAUGCUGAGGACUCUGGAGAGACUGCCGUCGUAAGAUGUGAGGAAGGUGGGGAUGACGUCAAAUCAGCACGGCCCUUACGUCCGGGGCUACACACGUGUUACAAUGGGGGGUACAGAAGGCAGCUAGCGGGUGACCGUAUGCUAAUCCCAAAAUCCUCUCUCAGUUCGGAUCGAAGUCUGCAACCCGACUUCGUGAAGCUGGAUUCGCUAGUAAUCGCGCAUCAGCCACGGCGCGGUGAAUACGUUCCCGGGCCUUGUACACACCGCCCGUCAAGCCAUGGGAGCCGGGGGUACCUGAAGUACGUAACCGCAAGGAUCGUCCUAGGGUAAAACUGGUGACUGGGGC